rnacentral:rRNA from 1 species
AACGAACGCUGGCGGCAUGCCUAACACAUGCAAGUCGAACGAGACCUUCGGGUCUAGUGGCGCACGGGUGCGUAACGCGUGGGAACCUGCCCUUAGGUUCGGAAUAACUCCCCGAAAGGGGUGCUAAUACCGGAUAAUGUCUUCGGACCAAAGAUUUAUCGCCUUUGGAUGGGCCCGCGUUGGAUUAGCUAGUUGGUAGGGUAAAAGCCUACCAAGGCGACGAUCCAUAGCUGGUCUGAGAGGAUGAUCAGCCACACUGGGACUGAGACACGGCCCAGACUCCUACGGGAGGCAGCAGUGGGGAAUAUUGGACCAUGGGCGAAAGCCUGAUCCAGCAAUGCCGCGUGAGUGAUGAAGGACUUAGGGUUGUAAAGCUCUUUUACCCGGGAUGAUAAUGACAGUACCGGGAGAAUAAGCUCCGGCUAACUCCGUG